rnacentral:rRNA from 1 species
UAUGUGAUCGUCUCUCGCAUAUCAAUAAGCGGAGGAAAAGAAACUAACAAGGAUUCCCCUAGUAACGGCGAGUGAAGCGGGAAGAGCUCAAAUUUGAAAUCUUAAAGGGUUUCCCCUUACGAAUUGUAGUUUAAAGAAGUGUUUUCUGUUGAGGUUUUGGUAAAAGUUCUUUGGAAUAGGACAUCAUAGAGGGUGAGAAUCCCGUAUUUGACCUUUAGCUUUCAACUUUGUGAUACACUUUCAAAGAGUCGGAUUGUUUGGGAAUGCAGUCCAAAAUGGGUGGUAAAUUUCAUCUAAAGCUAAAUAUUGGCGAGAGACCGAUAGCGAACAAGUACCGUGAGGGAAAGAUGAAAAGAACUUUGAAAAGAGAGUUAAACAGUACGUGAAAUUGUCAAAAGGGAAGCGUUUGACACCAGUGUUGUUUUUCUGAAAAUCAAUUAAAGAACUGUUUAUGCUAAGCUGUUUAGACUUUAUCAGCUAAUCUGUUUAGUUUUGAGCUUUUCUUUAAUGCACUUUUCAGUUAACAAGUCAACAUCAAUUUCUUUUGCUAUAAAAAAGCUUGAGGAAGGUGGCUUGAGAUUCGUCUUAAGUGUUUAUAGCCUCUUGCCUAUGCAGUCGGAGAGAUUGAGGUCUGCAGCGUAGAUCCUUCGGGGCUAAAUGCAUUUGUGCUAAGUUAUAGCAUUUUAUAGACAACUUGUUGACUAUGAUUUGUCUUGUAGCUUACUCGCUUAUGUUAUUUUACCUACGCUUAGGAUGUUGAUAUGCAUGACUGAUAU